rnacentral:rRNA from 1 species
GAUGAACGCUGGCGGCGUGCUUAACACAUGCAAGUCGAACGGAAAGGCCCUGCUUUUGUGGCUUGCUCGAGUGGCGAACGGGUGAGUAACACGUGAGUAACCUGCCCUUGACUUUGUGAUAACUUCAGGAAACUGCGGCUAAUACCCGAUAGCAGCUCCUGCUCCAUGGUGGGCGUUGGAAAGUUUCGGCGGUUGUGGAUGGACUCGCGGCUUAUGCGCCUGUUUGGCUAGUUGUGGAUGUCCAGGGCUUCCACGGGAACCCUGCCUGAGAGGGUGACCGGGAACAGGGGGACUGAGAUACGGCACAGAGGCCUAAGGGAGGCAGCAGUAGGGAAUAUUGCAUAAUGGGGGCAAGUCGGAUGCAGCAAGGCGGCGUUCGGGAUGACGACCUUCUGGUUGAAAACAACUUUGGCCGGUGACGAAGAGUGAUUGACGGUACCUGAUAAAGAAGCACCGGCUAACUCCGUG